ensembl:snRNA U2 U2 spliceosomal RNA
AUCGCUUCUCGGCCUUUUGGCUAAGAUCAAGUGUAGUAUCUGUUCUUAUCAGUUUAAUAUCUGAUACGUUCUCUACCCGAGGACCGUGUAUUAAAUGGGUUUUUGGAACCGGGAGAGGGAAUAGGAGCUUGCUCCGUCCACUCCACGCAUUGACCUGGUAUCGCAGUACUUCCAGGGACGGUGCCCUCCUC